ACUCAAAGGAAUUGACGGGGACCCGCACAAGCGGUGGAGCGUGUUCUUUAAUUCGAUGAUAAGCGAAGAACCUUACCAGGGCUUGACAUCCUUGUAAUUUCUCCGAAAGGAGAAAGUGCCUUCGGGAUCAAGUGACAGGUGUUGCAUGGCCGUCGUCAGCUCGUGUCGUGAGAUGUUUGGUUAAGUCCAUCAACGAGCGCAACCCUUAUGAUUAGUUGUAUUUUUCUAAUUAGACUGCCUCGGUAACGGGGAGGAAGGAGGGGAUGAUGUCAGGUCAUUAUUACCCUUACGUCCUGGGCUAGAAACGCGCUACAAUGGCUGGUACAAAGGGCUGCCAACCCGCAAGGGGGAGCAAAUCCCAUCAAAGCCAGUCCCAGUUCGGAUUGCAGGCUGAAAUUCGCCUGCAUGAAGUCGGAAUCGCUAGUAAUCGUAGGUCAGCACACUACGGUGAAUCCGUUCCCGGGUCUUGUACACACCGCCCGU
rnacentral:rRNA from 1 species